rnacentral:rRNA from 1 species
UACGGAGGGGGCAAGCGUUGUUCGGAAUUACUGGGCGUAAAGCGCACGUAGGCGGCUUUGUAAGUUAGAGGUGAAAGCCCGGGGCUCAACUCCGGAAUUGCCUUUAAGACUGCAUCGCUAGAAUUGUGGAGAGGUAAGUGGAAUUCCGAGUGUAGAGGUGAAAUUCGUAGAUAUUAGGAAGAACACCGGUGGCGAAGGCGGUACACUGGCUCGGUACUGACGCUGAGAUGCGAAAGCGUGGGGAGCAAACAGG